rnacentral:rRNA from 1 species
UACGUAGGGGGCUAGCGUUGUCCGGAAUCAUUGGGCGUAAAGCGCGUGUAGGCGGUCCGGUAAGUCCGCUGUGAAAGUCGAGGGCUCAACCUCGAAUGCCGGUGGAUACUGUCGGGCUAGAGUACGGAAGAGGCGAGUGGAAUUCCUGGUGUAGCGGUGAAAUGCGCAGAUAUCAGGAGGAACACCAAUUGCGAAGGCAGCUCGCUGGGACGUUACUGACGCUGAGACGCGAAAGCGUGGGGAGCAAACAGG